rnacentral:rRNA from 1 species
GCAAUACUCGAGAGUGGCGAACGGGUGAGUAAUAUAUCGGAACGUGCCCAGUCGUGGGGGAUAACGUAGAGAAAUUUACGCUAAUACCGCAUACGAUCUAAGGAUGAAAGCGGGGGAUUCGCAAGAACCUCGCGCGAUUGGAGCGGCUGAUAUCAGAUUAGGUUGUUGGUGAGGUAAAAGCUCACCAAGCCGACGAUCUGUAGCUGGUUUGAGAGAACGACCAGCCACACUGGGACUGAGACACGGCCCAGACUCCUACGGGAGGCAGCAGUGGGGAAUUUUGGACAAUGGGCGAAAGCCUGAUCCAGCAAUGCCGCGUGCAGGAAGAAGGCCUUCGGGUUGUAAACUGCUUUUGUACGGAACGAAAAGGCUCUUUCUAAUAAAGAGGGCCCAUGACGGUACCGUAAGAAUAAGCACCGGCUAACUACGUGCCAGCAGCCGCGGUAAUACGUAGGGUGCGAGCGUUAAUCGGAAUUACUGGGCGUAAAGCGUGCGCAGGCGGUUCUAUAAGACAGAUGUGAAAUCCCCGGGCUCAACCUGGGAAUGGCAUUUGUGACUGUACAGCUAGAGUACGGUACAGGGGGAUGGAAUUCCACGUGCCACAGAUGG